AAAUGAACAGGUGAAUCAUCGAAUCUUUGAACGCACAUUGCGCCCAUCAGUAUUCUGUUGGGCAUGCCUGUUCGAGCGUCAUUUCCACCCUCAAGCCCUGGCUGCUUGGUGUUGGGCGCCCUACAGCUGCUGUAGGCCCCGAAAAUCAGUGGCGGUCUCGCCGGGACCCCGAGCGCAGUAGAUCUCUCUCGCUUAGGGGCACCGGUGGGUUUCUAGCCGUUAAACCCCCUAAAGUCUUAAAGGUUGACCUCGGAUCAGGUAGGAAUACCCGCUGAACUUAAGCAUAUCAAUAAGCGGAGG
rnacentral:misc_RNA from 1 species